rnacentral:lncRNA from 1 species
AUGCCUACAUUAUCCCACAUACAACAUCAUAGACAAUGUUACCAACUCCAGGUUAUUUUCAGAGCCAUCACCAUUCACCCAGGUCCUCAGAUUGGAAAGCUAGGAGUCACCCUUGACUCCCCUCUUUCCCCCCACUUUCCAGACCCAGCCUGUCAGCAUGUUCUCUUGGCUCCAAAUCUGUUGGCCUGUCUCUGUUUUGAAGACCAUCAUUCCAGAUUCCAUUACUACCCCUGCCUCAGUAGUCUCCUAACAGGUGUCUCCACUUCUGCUUUGUCCCUUUCAGUCUAUUCUGCGAUGUGGGCUAACCUUGAAAAAAUUUCAGUCGAAGAGAAGAGGGAACUUGCAGAAAUCCAUCCUGUGAUGUCCACAAAAUCUGUAGAUAACCCCCGUCUCCCACACACUUUCUGGUCAAGUUUUUAAUGAUCCCUGAAUCCAUAAGGCAGAGUUUCCUUCAUUUGAGAACCAAAAUCCUGGGAUGAAAGAAGUAAAUUUCCUGACACUGAGAAUACUAGAUAUUUGAUGGUCAAGAUUAUCUAAGAGCUUCCCAGAUUGCCGGGAGCCACCACGGGAGAUCCCACCCAUGACAAGGUCAUGUGGAAGAGAACUGUUAACCAAGGCUUCAGAACUCAACGGGCUCCCUAGGCUUUCUCGAGCAUCUACCCCCCAAACCAGAAUCUGUCUGUUUUACUAUUUCAUGACUUUCACCAACUCCUCUAACAUUAACACGGGGCUAUUCCUGACCACCUUUCUCUGGAAAAAAUUAACUUAGGGCUACAGCUAAUAAGUCUCCUGGACAUGAGAAAAAUAUUUCCAAUCAAAACCCCUCUGUUAGCAUUUUAGCUUGCUUGACAGAUAUAUCCAGACUCUUACAGCUACACAUGUGAUUAUUUAUAUCUUCCCAACUGUGAGAGGCACAGAAAGCCUAAAACAUAGAGCCUUUCAAAGAGUUAAAAGUUAUUAGAGUAGUGCUAGUGUAGGAUUUCAUUAUUGGGCUGAUGCUUGUUGCUAAGUUCCCGUAUCUUUUAUCCACUGUGCCCCUGGGAGUGCAUUAGUUAACAUAGUUGGAAAGUAAGAAAAACAAGUGUAGCCUUGAAAUUAACCACAUCAGACUUUUGAGCUAAUUGGUUCUUUCUUGUAACUCACUGCACCUUU